rnacentral:misc_RNA from 1 species
GAAAUGCGAUAAGUAAUGUGAAUUGCAGAAUUCAGUGAAUCAUCGAAUCUUUGAACGCAUAUUGCGCCCGCCAGCACUCUGGCAGGCAUGCCUGUUCGAGCGUCAUUUCAACACUCAGGUCUUAGUCGCCUGGCGUUGGGGCGCUGCGGCACGGCCCGCAGGCCCCCAAAUAUAGCGGCGGACCCGCCGCGGCCCUGAGCGCAGUAGUUGACAAAGCCUCGCUCCGGCGGCCGCGGCGCGGCCCUGCCCCCGCCCAACAGCGCGAAACGCGCGAGCAAAGUUGACCUCGGAUCAGGUAGGACUACCCGCUGAACUUAA